rnacentral:rRNA from 1 species
AGCUCCAUUAGCGUAUAUUAAAGUUGUUGCAGUUAAAAAGCUCGUAGUUGGAUUUCAGUACGGGCCAGUUGGUCGGCCGCAAGGCCUGUUACUGACUGGUCUGUUCUUCUUCUCAAAGACUGCGCGUGCUCUUCGUUGAGUGUGUGUAGGAUUUGGGACGUUUACUUUGAAAAAAUUAGAGUGUUCAAGGCAGGCUUGUAAGCUUGAAUACAUGAGCAUGGAAUAAUGGAAUAGGACCUCGGUUCUAUUUUGUUGGUUUCUACGACCGCAGUAAUGAUUAAGAGGGACAAUUGGGGGCGUCCGUAUUUCGUUGUCAGAGGUGAAAUUCUUGGAUUUACGAAAGACGAACAACUGCGAAAGCAUUCGCCAAGAGUGUUUUCAUUAAUCAAGAACGAAAGUA